UGGAAGAUGGCUAAGUCAGUAAAGUGCUUGUCUUGUAAACAUGAUGGUCUGAGUUUAAUACCCAGUUCCCAU
rnacentral:tRNA from 1 species